UAAUAAAAAGUUUUCUUAAACUCACAGUUUUCUGUGACACUGCUAAAGACAUUCAGAGCAAAUGUUCCAAGGAGAACUUCUAGUUCUAGAAAAAGUACACAGAGACCAGAAAAAAGGAGCACAUUGGUUCAGCUUCUUCUUUGAACCCAAUAAACACCACAAGUUUCUUGGCAUUUUCACCUCUUCUUUUCUCUUAACUACAGAAAAAAAGUUGCUCUCUUUGGCUGCUCAGCCUUUGGGUCAACAUUCUGCAGGAAGGAUGGCUGCAGUUUUAACAUAUUCCUCUGAUUUCAUGAUUUCCUGGUGAUUUUUAACUGCAGCAGUCACUGCUGCUCUGUUUCUCCAGCCUGACAUCCAGACCCUGCUCACGAUUUCACUGGGACCCAGCAGGUUGGGAUCCCCUCCCAGGGGAGACACAACUCUCCAAAGUAGGGAUGUACCUAAAAUCUGGCAUUGCUUCUCUUAAUAUAUCCAUAAGAACAGGGGCAGAGAAGGAUUUUAUGAUUCUAUCCAACUGAAGAAAGGAGAAACCAAACAAAACUAGGUAAAAGAUACUUCAAAAGAGAGAACAGGGCAAAAUUUAGAGCUGAGAAGGUUUAAAAUGGGUGAGUUUUCAUGGGGGCCUAAGCUGUCCAUCUGUAGAUGCAAUCCUUCUCCCAAACCCUUCUUUUUACUACAGGGAAUCAUUGUUGGAUGAACUGCUGGAAGGUUUAGGAAAGCUCAGGGCACUCAGGAACAAUCAAAGCAAAGUGAUGGUGAUGGCAUUUUCACACCAAGGAUGAAGGCUGAGUACAGUGAAAUUCUGCCUCAAUGCAAAACCAUAUCUACUAGAUCAAAAAUACUGACAAUUAUGAUGUUUUCACAAUUUUAUAAUGAGCAAAAGUCCUAAAAGCAGACCCUAAUUUCAGGUUUGUGGUUAAGCAAACUUAAACUUCUAAGCUAUUCAUAUGCAAAACAGGCAUUUUUGAAAACCCCAUAAUUUAAAUACUGUCAGUUUUCUUUCUGUUUUGCUCAUUAUAAAUGUUCCACAUUCAGCCUUUCAUUUUGUUUCAGGGCUUCCUCUCUGGACUUUCUGACUUCUCAAACAAAGACUCUGCUCAUAACAUCUCAGAAGUUAACUUGGAUUCAGAUCAAAAUGACAAAAAAUUGAGGAAGUCUGAAAGGGAAAAGAAACUCUCAAAAAAAAAAAUUGAUAGCCUGUUUGAAGCGGUAUUAAAAAUGGAAUUCCUUGGCCUCUGCUGGUGUUGUUUGGAUAUGUCACAGGCUGUUACAUCAGUCAUGUUCUGUUAUGUUAACAUGUUGAGAUGAAUCACAGCAAGGCCACAGCAGCCAAGAAAUGUCAAACAGCAACACCUUGACACAAAGUGAGAACCAGCCCUUAUGUGUGCUCAGGCCUUUGAUUCCCCAGCAAAUAUUCCACAAAAACACACAGCCCGAGAUCCAUGCACUUACUGGAAAGAGAAAAUGAAGUCGUUUUUCCCAUCAGAUGGGUUUUGCUUUAAUUAAAAGAACCCUACACGUUGAAAUACCAUAAAGCUUCAUCUUCUCAAGUCAUCACCUUCCCAUUUUAAAGACAGGUACAUUUAUUCACCCUCUUGUCAUGAAAAAGCAAGAGACCAAAGUCUGUGAGAAGAUGGAAAGUCACUGAGAAAACACAAGCACAUCUUGUUUCUGAGAUGUGACACAGAGGUUGCUACCUCCAACCAUGUAACAAAAUAAAAAACAGUGUGCAAUUCUCUUAUUCCUGAUGAAUUAUCAGCAACCAGUAAACCAGAGAAGAAAUGAUUUGGAGUGACAUACUCCAAUAGAAGUAGAAAUGUACCUGUAAUUUUAACACCAUUUCAGGUCACUUAUGGAGCUCUAAUUUAUUUAGAAAUAUAGGUUAAAAAGAGCCCCACAAACAAGAGGCUUGAGACUAAAUUCAGUGACUACUGUUAUCUUCAGUACUUAGCAACCCUGCUAAACACCACAGCUCCUGAUAUUACAACAAUCCUCUGUGCUUACUGACACCAAUUCUAAUUUAAAUAACAUCUGACAGAAGGUAUUUUUUGGAUCUGUUUAUCAGAUGAUUUACAUCUGUGGUCAAACCAUCUCUUCAUUUUCCAUAUUAGAGGAUAAAUAUAUUGAUCUGUAUUUUUACUGGUUUGUUUUUUGUUUUUUUCUGGUAGCCCUGAAGCUCAGUUUCCCUCUAUCCAAUUCAGACAUGCAGCCAAGUAAAUGUGAUCCUCCUUUUGCUGCACACCUUGCAGGGAGCAGACCAGUGAGGAUUCCAUGGAAAAAACGGUGCAAUAGCAACUUCAUGCACGCCUUGAAUUAUUCCACCACAAGUGUUAACCUCCCUCUGCAUUUCCAUUUGGAAACUCAGUCCUCCUGAACUCACUCCAAGCAUUAGAAAGGCUCAGAGGGCUGGAUUUAAUAAAAACAACUUGGACAGAGUAGCUUAAAUUUAUACAAGUACAAAGGGAAGUCAUUAGAGAUGCAGUUCACAUGAAAGCCAUGCACUUCUGCAUUUCAAUUCUGCCCCUUUCUCUACUUUAGCAGACGUUCACGAGAAGAAGAAAAGAAGAAGAUCAAAAGCUAUGGAAGUUUUGCAAGAAGCCAAGUUAGUUCAUGAGACCAUGUAACAAACAGAUGCUGUAACACGAUGGGCAGGCUGUCAUAAACAGAUGGACAUGCUCUAAAUCCAACCUCCAAAAAAACCAUCCCAUCAAGGAUGCAGAACUGGUCUCCUGGGAGAAGCAGUCAAUACCCAGCACACCCUCCCCAGUGUUGACUCAGCAGAUCUGGGCAAAUUCCAAACAAGAAACCUUGGAUGUGCCAAUAGGAAAGGGAAAGAGAGGCAGCACUUUACCCAAAAGGCAGCAAUCUGCUCAUCUUCACGCACAAGCUAUCCCUGUUGUGGGAUAUUGAUGUGGAAACAGCCACAGCAUGGACACAGAGGUGGGAUAACACCGAGGGGAGCAGGUGAGGAUCACGAGUCACAGAAUGGCUCCCUGAAGGAGCCACAGAGAAUUUUCUGUCACCUACAAACCCACAGCCAGCAAGACGUGGUGAUCUGUACUCUGUGCACAGAGGGCUUCCUCUGUGUGCUGAAAUGGGGCAGAUCUCAGUUCUGUUGGCUCACCAGCAUUUCAGAGAGCUUCUGAAGCAGUUUCCUUUCCCUUCCUCCUGAGGGCUGCUGCGUUUCAUGGCUCACCAGAGCAAGAAUGACUACCUGGGAUCACCCCUGGCAGACAGCACAACUAACUACUGACCACAGCAGAGCUGAACAGCCUCCUCCUUCUGUCUGAAAAGUCACUAAUAUUGGAUUCCUUGAGCUUCUAGCAACCUCUCUAUAAAACAUCCACGUUUUUCUUCAUUUCUCUGGAUUUAUGGGUGUCCUGAACACCUCUGAAUCUGAUGUACUUUAACAGAAGCAUCUGAAAUAAAUUGCUGUGUACUUCA